UACGUAGGGGGCAAGCGUUGUCCGGAAUCAUUGGGCGUAAAGCGCGCGUAGGCGGCCCGGUAAGUCCGCUCUGAAAGUCCAGGGCUCAACCCUGGAAAGCGGGUGGAUACUGCCGGGCUAGAAUCCGGAAGAGGCGAGUGGAAUUCCUGGUGUAGGCGGUGGAAUGCGCAGAUAUCAGGAGGAACACCAAUAGCGAAGGCAGCUCGCUGGGACGGUAUUGACGCUAAGGCGCGAAAGCGUGGGGAGCAAACAGG
rnacentral:rRNA from 1 species